CCGUUUCUUCCAUUCCUCCGUCUGCGUGCCCCGCGCACACCACCCUCAGCCGCACACCGCCGGCAAAUGCUGUCGGCGACUGCAGGCGGACGGAGUCUCGUUGGCCCUAGACUCCCGCUUACGCGGAGGGGCGAGCGGGCUUCACGUGCCAGAUGUCCUCAGCGUACUCGCGAAUGGUGCGGUCACUGGAGAACUUGCCGCUGCCGGCCGUGUACAUGAUCGACCUGCGCACAAGGACAGGGGGAGGAGGGGGCGGUGAGGGCGAACGCAGGGUCAGGGUGUGGCGGUGUGUGCAGUGGAUGCGCGGACAUACCAUGCACUAUCAAGCUGUCCGGGCCUCAUCCAGCAGGUAUGUGCGCGUGUGCCCGACGGCUCCCAAAGCCUAAGCUGCCGGUGCCAGCCACUUGAAAACACAGUCCCAAACGUGCACACCGUGCACACCCCAGCAGUCUGCCCAGCAGGCCAAACACCCCCCCUGCUCCUGCCCUCCCACCCACCGGCGCAGCCACUCCGCCUGGUCCUUGUAGGUGGCGUCCACCUCCUCCUGUGCCGCCAGGUAGCCGGCGAAGUCGUUGGCCAGCAGGAACCAGUCGUUGCCCACCUGCUCGGUAAGAUAGGUAAACACAAAACGAAUAGGAGUCGGUGAGUGUCGGUUCGGCUGAGGGGUGGACGUGACCGGUUAGGCGGCCAGAGCGCGCGCGGGCAUGCGGUGUGUGAGCGUUCGCCAAGGGGGCAAAGUGGGGUUAUGAGAAAGCGGCAAGUGCGCCGUCAACUUAGGGGUCUACCACCUCGUUAACCGUCCUCCUGGGCCUGGCCUGCUCCCCGUGUGCUUGCCUUCAUGUUGUUGACGCUGUCCACCAGCGGCUUGAAGUAGUCCUUGUCGCCGAACAUGCCGCCCUCAAUGUCCUUCAUCAGCUCGUCCCACCUGGCGGCCAGAGUGCAGGUUGCGUUGCGCGUUAGGUGGGCACAUGGGUACAUUUGGACAGGCCGGCAGCCGGCUGCAUGUGUACGUGUGAUGAGGUGCAGGUCCCAGGAGUUGCACAGGGUGUUAAUGGAUGAUUGACAGGACGUGGUCGACCAGUUGUGUCAUACGGUUGUAUGGCUUGCGGACUGGAGCCUGGAGAGCUUGGCUGCUACUACUGGUCUUACCGGGGGUCGGUCUUGAAGUUCUUGCGGUCCUUGCGCAGCUGGUUGAUCUCCUCGGCGCGCACGCCGAACACGAAGACGUUCUCCACGCCCGUCUCCUCCGCGAUCUCAAUGUUGGCGCCGUCCCAGGUGCCCAUGAUCAGGCAACCGUUCAUCUGGAACUUCAUGUUGGACGUGCCCGAAGCCUCAGUGCCUGUGACACGUAAGCGGGCGUGGGCAUGCGGUCUAAGGGACGAGAGUGGCGCGGCAGGGUAGUGUGCAACAAGAGGCAGUUUUGCAUGGUUGGAUACCGUAUGGGCAAAAGCUCGCCGCCGCGCCCACACGACCGCUUCUGCACAGCCCCAGCCCCACGCACCCGCGGUGGAGAUGUGCUGCGACAGCUCGGCGGCGGGGAUGAUGGUCUCGGCCAGGGUCACGUUGUAGUCGGGCAGGAAGUACAGGCGCAGGUAGUCCUUGGUCUCGG
rnacentral:lncRNA from 1 species